AGCAGCCGCGGUAAUUCCAGCUCCAAUAGCGUAUAUUAAAGUUGUUGCAGUUAAAAAGCUCGUAGUUGAAUUUCGAGAUCGGCUUACUGGUCGUGCUUUUGUACGUACUGGUAUAAUCGGUUUCUCCUUUCUGACGAACUUUAAUGCCAUUAAUUUGGUGUUUUAGGGAAUCAGGACUGUUACUUUGAAAAAUUAGAGUGUUUAAAGCAGGCUCACGCUUGAAUACAUUAGCAUGGAAUAACGGAAUAGGACGUUUGAUUCUAUUUUGUUGGUUUCUAGGAUCGACGUAAUGAUUAAUAGGGAUAGUUGGGGGCAUUAGUAUUCAAUUGUCAGAGGUGAAAUUCUUGGAUUUAUUGAAGACUAACUACUGCGAAAGCAUUUGCCAAGGAUGUUUUCAUUAAUCAAGAACGAAAGUUAGGGGAUCGAAGACGAUCAGAUACCGUCGUAGUCUUAACCAUAAACUAUGCCGACUAGGGAUCGGAUGAUGUUAAUUUUUAAUGACUCAUUCGGCGCCUUACGG
rnacentral:rRNA from 1 species